rnacentral:rRNA from 1 species
CCCUUAGAUGUUCUGGGCCGCACGCGCGCUACACUGACGGGGACAACGAGUUUGCAACCUGCGCCGGUAGGUGUGGGUAAUCUUUGAACGCUGUUCGUGAUUGGGAUAGACCUUUGCAAUUAUGGGUCUUCAACGAGGAAUUCCUAGUAAACGCAAGUCAUCAGCUUGCAUUGAUUACGUCCCUGCCCUUUGUACACACCGCCCGUCGCACCUACCGAUUGAAUGGUCCGGUGAAAUCUCGGGACGGCGGCUUGGUCGCUUGCGUCCGACUGCUGAAACUUGAUUAAACCAUAUCAUUUAGAGGAAGGUGAAGUCGUAACA